GGACCUCGGGAAUACAUCUCCACGUUUUGCAAAUCGUUGUUUAUGGGAUAACGAUCCUCUGUUGGUGAUCCACCUCCUGUAAGCCUCGGCAUCAGUCAACGGUGAUUGAAAACAGCUUUUGCAUCGGCAAUAAACGUCGUCCCGAGAUUGCGCGUUAACAUGCGGACGCGAAGAUAAUAUUGGCGAUGUCGACGGAGGAGACGGAGUGACACCUGAGCAGGUGUAACAACAAGCCGCAUACCUUCCUCUGUAAACUCUCGAGAGCCGUAUCUUUUUCUAACAAAGCUUCUUCUAACUUGUACCUGUUCGUAGGACAACGGAACUUUCCAACCUUGGUCUUUCGCUUUAUUUUAAUAGCAAAAAUACUUUAACAUUUUGAUCUUUUGUUAUAUUUAAAAUCAAAACACACAAUUGAGACAAUAAAAAAAUACUUAAUCAAGA
rnacentral:lncRNA from 1 species